rnacentral:rRNA from 1 species
UACGGAGGGUGCAAGCGUUAUCCGGAUUCACUGGGUUUGAAGGGUGCGUAGGCGGGCAGGUAAGUCAGUGGUGAAAUCUCCGAGCUUAACUUGGAAACUGCCGUUGAUACUAUCUGUCUUGAAUAUUGUGGAGGUGAGCGGAAUAUGUCAUGUAGCGGUGAAAUGCUUAGAUAUGACAUAGAACACCAAUUGCGAAGGCAGCUCGCUACACAAAUAUUGACUCUGAGGCGCGAAAGCGUGGGGAUCAAACAGG